ACCAUCCUUACCAACCUUUGUAUGAUACGGAUUAAAUAUUUUUUAGAAAAAAAAUUGACCUUGUGAUACAUACAAGAGAAUUUGAACAGUUUUAUGCUUAGAUGCAAAUGAGCUAUUCUGUAUAGUAGCGCUGAUAUGUUUAAUUCUAUCUUGGGUCAGGAGAUCCUCGAGUUCGUCAACAGGUACACGGACCUCCCAAACAUGGAGGAUUGGAAGAUGGAGCUGUUAUUGACUACCUUAGGGAACAUGAAGGACAACCGCGAAACCUUCCAGGACCGUGACGACUACAGUGAGAACGUCAAUCAGGGUUUUCAGAGAUGGCUCUCCUUAGCUGGUGCCCAAUAUGAAGCUGCCAUUGCUGCUGCUGGUGGUGGUGAUGAUGAUGCCGGUGGUGAUGCUGCGCAAGUGCAGCAGAAGCCAUUGCCGGCUCCAUAUCUCAAGUCUGAACUCUAAACUCUGGACUGUUCAGGUGCAUUUCCACUGCUUGAACGACAAAAUGUUUACCCGUGUAUGGACAAUUAAUUAUUCAUCUGUUAAAUCUAAUAAUUGUGUAAUGUACUGCCACCUUAAUACUAUCAUUAUUUAUACUUUACCUUAUCAUCUCUCCACUUUCUAUAACUAUGAUGUCUAGACAUAAAUCAUACUCCCUCCAUUUCAAAUUAUAAGUCAUUCCAAGAAUCUUGGAGAGUCAAAGCAUUUCAAGUUUGACCAAAAUUAUAGAAAAAAUUAUAAAAAUUUAUGACAUCAAAUAGGUAUACUAUGAAAAUAUAAUUGAUGAAGAAUCUAAUGAUACUUAGUUGACAUCAUAAAUGUUAUUAUAUUAUCAUACAAAUUUGGUCAACCUAGAGAUACUUUGACUCUCCAAGAUUCUUGGAAUGACUUAUAAUUUGGGACGGAGGGAGUAUCUGGGACCACCAUAAUGUUCGGCUCUACCGUAUCAUCCACUUUUCUUUCUAACCCCAGCUGAGUGACUUUUGUUUAGGCUACAAUAUAAUGUUCCAUCAAUUGCGCAUUUCUGCCCUCCACUCUCGCCUUCCUAAAUCCACAGCCUCGAGCCACAUGUUUUCAAGCCUUGUGCAACAACUAAACUGUGCGCGUCGGCGUGACGCUGCCGUCAUGUGAGGCUUGUAGAGUGGGCUACUCGAACGUGAAUUGGCUGGUGAGAUCCAUACACAUUGAGCCGACGUGCAGUGAGGAUUGGGUGGCCGCAGAGGUGUUCAAUACCGUUGGCAUGGCUUGCAUACAUGUCGAGCUAAGAUUGCCACGUAGGAGGUGUUCGAUACUAUAUAUGGGCUGAAUAAUUCAUAUUUCAAAACAUGUGUGUUGUAUUUUAGUUGAACCUUCAAUGCAGUGUUUAAACGCUAUAGUUACUGGUCGGACAAAACACGACUUUGAAAAGGAAAAAAGUAUAUGUUUUUUCGCUUAUUCAUCUUCAUUCUUGAUCUAACAGCCUAGUUCUUCUCCAACUAAACCCUAUCUUCCUGGCCACCUUCUUCACUCCCGACUAUGAACUAGCGCUGAUGCUGCUCGCCAAAUCCGAUGCCAGCAGGCUCCUAGUUCAGUCAAUACCUUUCUCCCCAGAUCUAUCAUGUGUACAACUCAGAGACAGAGACAAAAAUCUACAGUAACACUGACAAAUCUUAGGAUAAUAGCGCUGAUAUGUUUAAUUCUAUCUUGGGUCAGGAGAUCCUCGAGUUCGUCAACAGGUACACGGACCUCCCAAACAUGGAGGAUUGGAAGAUGGAGCUGUUAUUGACUACCUUAGGGAACAUGAAGGACAACCGCGAAACCUUCCAGGACCGUGACGACUACAGUGAGAACGUCAAUCAGGGUUUUCAGAGAUGGCUCUCCUUAGCUGGUGCCCAAUAUGAAGCUGCCAUUGCUGCUGCUGGUGGUGGUGGUGAUGACGCCGGUGGUGAUGCUGCGCAAGUGCAGCAGAAGCC
rnacentral:lncRNA from 1 species